GCCGCGGUAUAUUAACUGUGCAAAGGUAGCAUAAUCAAUAGUUUUUUAAUUGAAGGCUUGUAUGAAGGGUUGAACAUAGGACAAACUGUCUAUUAUUUUUAUUUUUGAAUUUGUCUUUUAAGUGAAAAGACUUAAAUAUAUUUAAGGGACGAUAAGACCCUAUAAAUCUUUAUAUGAUUAUAAUUCUAUAUUUAUUUUUAAUGUUUAAAGAUUAAAGUUAAAUAAUAUUACAUUGGGGUGAUGAAAAUAAAAUAAAUAAACUGUUUUAUAAAAGAAACAAAUAUUUUUGUUAAAAUAAUAGAUCCUUUUUUAAGAUUAAUAGUUUAAGUUACUUUAGGGAUAACAGCGA
rnacentral:rRNA from 1 species